AAUGGGUCCCCAUGGGUGACACAGAACUUUGGGAGCCUUGUCCCUUGCUCUCUCCAUCCCUAUCCUUCUCGUGAAUGCCACACAUUGGGGAAAAAAAAUAUGGAACAGAUAGCAGUAGCAAGGGCCAACAUCCAGUACAUCCAGUCCACCCACAGAAUGUUCUGAGGAUAAAUAAGGCAAUACACAUGCAAUGGCUUGAGAACUCUGAUUCACUCUACAAAACAGUGUUGCUGCUGAACAGCCAUGUACCCUACCCAGUGCCAUCUCCUUGGAUGUUCUAUGCUCCAUGUUUCUUCUCCUCCAGUACCCAGAGGCUAUUUCUAGAACAUUCCAUCCAGCAACUCAGAAGCUCAUAUUUCAAAUCAAACAAAGGACAACUUCUGGUGAAGUAGAAGAAAUCCACACCUUCCUUUCAGCCACAAAAACAAAGGCCAGGAGAGCCAAGAAGUUCCAAAUACUGAAACAUCCUUUCUUAUGUCAUGUCAUAUGAAUGAGCCCUGAUUAAAAC
rnacentral:lncRNA from 1 species